UAUACCUGAGUAUGAGUGUACGAAAGUUUUUGAUACUUUAAGAGGUAAUUUGGUUUACUAGGUAUAU
rnacentral:tRNA from 1 species